rnacentral:rRNA from 1 species
GCGGCCUAUCAGCUUGUUGGGGAGGUAACGGCUCACCAAGGCUUCGACGGGUAGCUGGUCUGAGAGGAUGAUCAGCCGCACUGGGACUGAGACACGGCCCAGACUCCUACGGGAGGCAGCAGUGGGGAAUCUUGCGCAAUGGGCGAAAGCCUGACGCAGCCACGCCGCGUGCGGGAUGAAGGCCCUAGGGUUGUAAACCGCUUUUAACAGGAACGAAAAUGACGGUACCUGUAGAAUAAGGUGCGGCAACUACGUGCCAGCAGCCGCGGUGACACGUAGGCACCAAGCGUUGUCCGGAUUUAUUGGGCGUAAAGAGCUCGUAGGCGGUUCAGUAAGUCGGGUGUGAAAACUCUGGGCUCAACCCGGAGACGCCAUCCGAUACUACUAUGACUUGAGUUCAGGAGGGGAGACUGGAAUUCCU